UACGUAGGGUGCAAGCGUUGUCCGGAAUUAUUGGGCGUAAAGAGCUCGUAGGCGGUCUGUUGCGUCGGUUGUGAAAACCUGGGGCUCAACUCCAGGCCUGCAAUCGAUACGGGCAGACUAGAGUUCGGUAGGGGAGACUGGAAUUCCUGGUGUAGCGGUGAAAUGCGCAGAUAUCAGGAGGAACACCGGUGGCGAAGGCGGGUCUCUGGGCCGGAACUGACGCUAAGGAGCGAAAGCGUGGGGAGCGAACAGG
rnacentral:rRNA from 1 species